CCUGGAUUUGUUGGUGGGCUCUGUCAAGUCCCUGAAUGUUGACACACAUCAAUAAAUCAUGUUUAUUUUGCUCUGCAGUGGGGUUAUGGAGACCAGGAGUGAUCAGGCCCUGGUUGGAGUCCAGAAUUAUUUGGAGCCUGGUUUUCAGUGGAGAAAUCCAAUGUUGGGAUGAUCCAGCUUGGUUCCUGAUUAUCCAGAUGCAGCUGGGAUGCACCAAACCUGUUGCCAAAAAAAAAAGAAAAAAAAAAAAAAAGAUUUUUUUUUCCAUGUUCGGUGAAGGGGUCAUUUCUUAGCUGCCUGCAAAGAGCAGAUCAGAAAUUCUCCCUUUCACGAGAUUACACCCCAUAUAUCCCAUAUUUAUAAAUUCCAUGUUUAUAAAUCAAAAAAUUAUAAAAUCAUAAUAAAUAUAUAUCCCAUGUUUAUAAAUAUUUGUCCCAAAUUUAUAAAUUUCAUCACAUAUAUUUAUAUUUAUACAUUAUAUCCCAUAUAAUAUCAUUUCUAACUUUAAAUUUUCAGUUAAAAUUCCCAAAAUUGCUUCAUCUUAAGCAGGGGGUGACAAGCCUGAGCCUGCACAUCCUCAUCCCUCAUCUUCUGGAAAAAUCCCCGUGCCAGGAGCAGGAAUUCUCUGCUCAUGCAGAAGAGAAAACCCCAAACUUUGAUGUGGUUGCAAGAGGGAUCUUUGUGAGAACAUUGUUGUGGAUGGAGCUUGGAAGGGAAACAGAAUUCCAGGCUGGCUGAGUAAAAUCUCUCUUUGUGAAUUGGUGGCCACUGCUCUCUGUUCAACUUCUGAACACAUUUAGAAGGAUCCCAUCCUCCACAAAAAUCAGAAUAUUUCAGAGCUGGAGUCAUUUUAGGAGGAUUCUGCUGUCCUUGAAGUGGGAAUGGCAGUGUAGGAGUCUCACACCUCCCAUUUCUGGUUUCAUAACCACACAAUUAAAUUUGUCUGAGUGACAAGGCAGAGCUGGGAUUCCUCCCACCUCCUGCAAAUUUGAAUUUUUUUUUUUUUUGCUGUUGUCAGUGGAGAGAGCAGGAUGGUUUUUUUGUCUCAUGCAUUGCCAUUUCUAGUUAAAAUGUCUUUUUCCCCCCCUUUGAUCUCAACAUUCAUGCUCUGUUGGAAAGAUUAAAAAAAUGCCACAUUUCUUUACUUACCGUCAUUUUAAAAAUGGGAUCUCAGCAAGGUCUGAAAUGCAGCUGCUGGAGAAAAUUCUGGAAACCCAUUCCUGGCUAAAAGGGAACAAUUGCAACAGGAAAAGCUGCCUGCACUGAGGAAUUUUGUGAGUAGAAACAGGCUGCUCUGAAGGAAUCCUUCUGCAAGGGUGGUUAUUUAAUAAAAACCACACAGGUGUUAACAGAAGCAGCUCAAGUGUGCUUGUGGAGGCAUGCAGGCAGAGGGAAAGAAAUGUAAGAAUUUGAUUUUUGUGUUUAGAGGAGGCUGGAGGUGCUGGCUUCAAACCCCACUGCAGGCCUGGAGGAUGGAGUUUGCAUUUCUCCUGAUGGUUUUAUAGCAGUGGAGCAAUUCCUGAGCUUGUUUUUGCAAAUCUUUGUGGCUCAGCUUUCAUUUCUUCCUCUGUGGUCUGAGCCAGGGCAAGGCUGUGAGCCAGAGGCACUUGAGCUGGCAAAAAUCCCCUGAGCACCAACCUUCUUUAAAGUAAAUAAAGACAUUUGUGGUCCCAAAUCUAUCCUGGGGAUUUUUUGGCUGCCCUGGCUCCUUUCUCCUCACUAAAUUCCAAAGGCAGGAAGACAAAACAGCAGGAGAAAAACUCCCUUCUAAGGAGAGGUCGCCUCUGAAGCAGCACCUGCAGGAAUUGGGGGUCUGUGCAGGGAUUCCCUGCUGGGUUUUUCCUGCAGGAUGGAGAGCAGCAGAAUUUUGGGAUGAGGGAGAGUCACAUCCAGUGCAGGAGAACAUUGUAGGAGAGGUGCAGGAGAUGGUGGCUGCAUCCUCCUGCAGUGGCAGAUGUGGUUCAGCUGGAGCAGGGCUCCUGGAGAAGGUGCAGUUUCCUCUGAAGCUCCAGGGAUGAUGUGCAAAGGUCUGGCUUUCCUCUGGAAUCCAGUGGAAAGAAGGUGCCUUGGUGUCCAAAAUGUCAGUUUUUAUCUGGGUAGGAAAGGCUUGGCUCCUCCCCUGGCUGGAGCAUCUCCCAUGGGAUGAUGUAAUUUUAUCAGCCAUGCCCUGGGACUCAGUGGCCAUGAACAGGAGAUAUCUCCUGGAGGGAGGAUGGGCUGUGGGAAGAUAAAGAUGAUUGCCCAGCUGGUUUAAAGCUGG
rnacentral:lncRNA from 12 species